UACGUAGGCAGCAAGCGUUGUUCGGAAUUACUGGGCGUAAAGAGUGUGUAGGCGAUGCUCCAAGUCUGGUGUGAAAUCUCCCGGCUUAACUGGGAGGGUGCAUUAGAAACUGGAAUGCUAGAGGAUGGGAGAGGUAAGCGGAAUUCCUGGUGUAGCGGUGAAAUGCGUAGAUAUCAGGAGGAACACCUGUGGUGUAGACAGCUUACUGGACCAUUUCUGACGCUGAGACACGAAAGCGUGGGUAGCAAACAGG
rnacentral:rRNA from 1 species